rnacentral:rRNA from 1 species
GUGGUGAAUCUUGCGCAAUGGGCGAAAGCCUGACGCAGCCAUGCCGCGUGAAUGAUGAAGGUCUUAGGAUUGUAAAAUUCUUUCACCGGGGACGAUAAUGACGGUACCCGGAGAAGAAGCCCCGGCUAACUUCGUGCCAGCAGCCGCGGUAAUACGAAGGGGGCUAGCGUUGCUCGGAAUUACUGGGCGUAAAGGGCGCGUAGGCGGACAGUUUAGUCAGAGGUGAAAGCCCAGGGCUCAACCUUGGAAUUGCCUUUGAUACUGGCUGUCUUGAGUACGGGAGAGGUGAGUGGAACUCCGAGUGUAGAGGUGAAAUUCGUAGAUAUUCGGAAGAACACCAGUGGCGAAGGCGACUCACUGGCCCGUUACUGACGCUGAGGCGCGAAAGCGUGGGGAGCAAACAGGAUUAGAUACCCUGGUAGUCC